GGAUUAUCUCUUUUUCUCUUUUUCUCUGGUUUGAUGUAGCAGUAGCCAUUUUAAUUUGGCUAGAAGAUUUAGCUAUAAGGAAUUGCUUUCUGCUUUUUGAAACCAAACCAAAUUCUCAUUUGAAGCAAUAAGUUUCUAGGAAUCUGUUAUACACAUGAACUUAUUUGAUGACUGCAAAUACCUAUAUUAAUUUCUUGGAUAUUGACUUUUUUUAAAAUCAGUAUGAAAUGCUUGCUAAUUAUGCAUAUCUAACCCCAGUGUAGCGCAAUGGGCUGCGAUGUAACCCACAGAGCUUACUAUUGAAUGAAAAACGAGACCCUCUUUAUUUUGCUCCUAUUGUUCUACUAUAUGGAGUUUCUCCUGUUAUGUAUACUUAAGUUGUGCAUUCAAACAGCUCCAGAGUUGGAGAACCCAUUCCUGCCACAUACCUACCAAAUUGGAAUAUCAUGGCUGAGUUUGAGAAGAUCAAGCAACAAUUGGCAAAGUGCUUGGGAAUUCCACGAGAUCAUAUCACGGUCCCUAACCCACAAAUGUUAGAAAUCAUGACAACAAAACUUGGGGUUACAAAGGGCAUAGGAUGCAUGAUUGGUCUCUAGUCUUAGUGUAUAGGGAAAUAGUGACUGCAAAACUUUACAAAGGGCAAAAAUAUAUGGAGUUGGGCCUCCACUUGUUCAUGUUUACUAUUUCUAGAUAUAUGGCACCUUUAUGUGUAUUUGAAUGACUUUUGUACCUUUGAAUGGGAAAAACUUUUAUUUA